rnacentral:lncRNA from 1 species
GAGCAAUGAAAGUUUGGCAACUGAAGUUGGAGAGAAAACGUUCUUGCCUACACUUUACAUAUAUUUUUUGACGAAUUUUAAGUUUGGAUGAAUGAAUUAUAGGGCAUUGAAGACAACACAUGUAAAUCAAAGGCAGUAAGUGAAUCAUUUUGUUGAUAGUAAUGGUUGGAGCCAUAUCUUGAGUUUUUGACGAAUUUUUGAUUCAAAAUUUCUAUAAGUGUGAGUUAUUAGGUUAAAAAGCUAUAGAUUAAAGUUUUAUAGUAUUUUAGUACUUAUUUUAUGAGAUAUAAAGAAAAUAGCAUGGGGGUGUAUGCAAGCUUAGGUUUAAAGCUAUUAUUAGGAUUUUGGUGAUAUCUCAAGAUUCAUAAUGAAUUUAUAGUUGAAUUUUUUUGUAAUAAUUUUUGAAAGUAUAUCAAUACUUCAUG